UCCUGUGGAGCAAGGGAGACAGGCUCUAGUCAGUUCCAGAAGAACUGCCCAAGCAACUCAGGCCUCCUGAGAUCACACUUUGGUCUCUUCCUCACCUAAAGACUCCUGGCGUCAUCUCCCGACGUGCACUCGGUUCAGAAGGUCCGGCUGGCCACUCUACAGCCUGCACUGGCUUCAUUCUCUGCAAUCUGAUUCAUCUUCUAAACUUCUGAGAUUGCAGCUGUGGCUGCGGUCAUGGCUGCAUCCAACAACCACAGGGAGGAAGUGUCUGGGUCCAGCCUCAUGAAUGGGUUAAUGCCUCUCCUGGGAACAGGCUAGCCCUGAAGUUCCCAACUCCUGCGAUGUUAGGAAGCAGCAUGUACCCCUCACUGGGUACAGCCAUCAGAUCCUGGUCCUGUUCUAGUCUCUGCAACUGUGAACCCAGCCUUACUUUGCAGAACCAUAGAACCAUGCAGACUUGGGUAUCACAACCCGAGGAAUCUUCUGAAAGAUGGACAGGCCCUCGGCACAGAUGGGGAUAUGGAGGCCACACAGUGAGGAGAUGGGCUUAGCUUCAUGCACAGAACAACUGGGCUGGAUGGAACAAGAACUUCUGGCUACUGGCUCCCAUUCCAGAUGACUCCCAGUCCCAAACAAUCAAAGCUCAUGAGGGCCCAAACAGGUGCCUGGGACAACAGAAAAUGAACUGGUCACAAGACCUCCGGUCAGGAACCAUGCCUGGAGCAUCCAGCAACUGCCUCAAAGGUGCCCAGUAUGGAAGCUGCCCUCCCAGAGGUGACCUCUCCGCACCCAAUCAGGACCAGAUGGUGGCAGCCAAUGUAAGCAGCAGCAGAGGCGAGUGGUGGCACUGAGCAAACCCACGACACACGAUGU